AAACUAUAUAAAUAGUAUUGUUCUAAAUUUGUUGUCAGAACAAAUGAUUUCAUUUAAUUGUUAAAAAAAAACAACAAAUUAUUGAUUUAAUCAUUGGAAGACUUGCAUGUUUUGGUGUUUAUGUUUCUUUCUCCUUAUAUUUUGUUUUCUCUCCUCAACAGCUGCAUCCAGACACUCCUGAACUUUUCCUGAAAAGCAACUAGGCAUCUUUUUAAUAGGUUUUCUGGGCUCAAACCCUGAACAAGGUCGACUGACACGAUGCAGACGAAGGUGAAGAAGCAGCUUUGCCUUCCAGCCAGAUGGUUUAAGUCCCUUAAUGAACUGAAUGACUGGGAAUCCAUGGAAAAUUUGAGCCUUUUGAAGUUUAAAUGUGAUUGAUCAUCUCAUCAAACCUGGUGCACCAAGAACCUUUGUGAAGCACAAGAACUGGUCACAGAACAUUUCAAGCUCUUGGUAACUGGACCUAAGAGUUGGAUUAACCUUUUUUUGCAGAACAUAAACAUAAAAUGGACUGUU